AAAUAAGCCCUAGGGUGUCUUCUUGAGGAAAAAUAAGUAUAAGACCCUGUCUUAUUUUCAGGAAAACAUGGUAGCUAUAUAGCCACAGGCCCAAUUCUUUUCUGCUGUUCUUUAACAUUUUACUUUGAAAUAAUUUAGACUUACAAAAGUUGCCAAGAUAUUACAAAGAAUUUCCUGUAUACCCUCCACCAGCUUCUCCAAUGUUAGGACUUUACCACUUGCCUUCCUAGUCCCUCUCCAGCUAUACAUUUUUUCCUGAGCUAUGGGAGAAUAAGUUGCAUACAUUGCAGCCCUCCACCGCUAAAUUCUUCAGCGUGUGUUUCCUAAAGUCAAAGACAAAGGCAUUUCUCACAUAGCCACGCUAUAAUCAUCUGCAUGAAAACGAACGUGGACAUGGUCCGAUCACACUCCAGACAGUCUCGCAGUCUCGCCAGUGCUUUUAUAGAAAAGAAGAAAAUUGUUUUUUUGGUCCAGGGUGCCAUGGAGGCAUUCAGGUGGCAUUUCACCUCCCGCAGCUUGGGACAGCUCUGUACUCCGUCUGUCCUUCAUGCCCUUGAAAACUCCUCGUUAUUACCGACUUAUUAUUAGCUGGAAAUCCAGCGAGGAAGCCGUGUUACUUCACUUGCAAAUUCUUUUCUAAAUGACAGGCACUAUUUUCUCCAGCCCCAGAGUGCUGGAGAGAGCUGGCUCUUAGGGAUGCUCCCCUGACAUGAGCCUGAGAGUCUGCAGCAGCCUGCUGGCCUCGUGGGGCCGGCGCCCAGCCACCCUGCACAUCGCCGAUGCCCCGGGAAGAUGGCCAAAACAACAGGCAUCAUGAAGGCCCUUACUCUUCCCUUGGCUCAUUUUCCCCUGUUCUCUGCUUUAGUUUGGGCUCCCAACUAGAAAGUUAGGAACUCAAAGCGAAAAGCUGUGCAAGAAAGGAAAUGUCGCCAGAACGCCCUGCUGGGCCCUGCCCGCUCCCAGCUGCGGCUCUGCUCCUGGGAUCCUUGCAGAACCCACUUCCAGACACAGCGCAGAAGCCUCGGUCGAGAGUGCCCAGCAGAAAGCCCACGUCAUCAAAUUCAGUUUGGUCACAGACAGAGCUACACAGCCAGCAGGAGGGCUGGGGACAGCCAUGUCACUGUGUGGGCGGGGAGGCCAGACGGCUGCAGAGGACAGCCUUGUGCCUUCCCUGGUGAGAUCACGAGAUCCCACUGAAAAGCUCAGGCCCGGGCACAGGGUGUGCACACACCCCGGGUGAUGCGGACAUACCUGCAGAGGCACAGGUGGAAGGACCCAUAUGCUGGCUCUGGGCAGGGAGUGCGGCUGGAAGCUUUGUUCCUAUUAUGCGUCUUGCUGUGCCCCACAAGUGUCAUUGCCUUGAUACGUUUUUUUAAAGACCAGUGAACUCAGAGGAACUGGAUCCUUGUCUUGGUUUCUUGUCUGGGGAUAGCUCCCUGCCUGCUUGAUAAUGAGUAUAUGCUUCACCUGCCCCCGUCCCCCCGCAGAGUUGCUGCAAGGCUCAAGGAACAUAUUUAGUAUUUACUAAUCUCUGUGUUCCAAGUUGUGGCAGUAGUACUAGUAUUGCAUUAUUAUUCUUAAAACAGUGCAAAAACAAACAUACAUUAAGACACUAAUGAGAGCCAUGUGACAUCACUGAAACAGAGAGAGAAUGUUAUUAGGGAAAAUUUGGGGUGGGCUCAGAUAAGGUGAGGUGUGUAUUCACAAAGGUGCUAGUCACAGUGAGGUUGCACACGAGCAGUACGUGGACAUAAUUACUCAAAGGGUCAUGCCCUUGACCCACUCCCUCCAUUUCUGAAAAUGUAUUCCCUGGAAGUAAUUAUUGAUGUACACGAGUACAUCUAAUGGAACCAACCAAGAUGUCAACAACAGAAAACUAAGUAAUAAAAUGUGGUACUUAAUUGUGCUGUCAUACCUGCAGCAACAUAGGAAAUGUUUAUGCUGCUACAAGCAGGCAAUAAAAGUACACUUACACUACAUUAUAGCCAUGUAAAAAACGAUGUGCACAAGGACAAUGGGAGAUCAUUUUCUAGGUUUUCACUCAUUUCUCUAUUCAACGACCAUUUGCACUCCGCGAUGUCCCAGGCCCUUUGGGGAGCCCAAGAGAGAUAGCUGGGGGUCUGGUGCCACCGUUCCCAGGCAGUUGUCGCUGCACAGGAGAAAUGAUGGUGAUGCACAGCAUUUUCUCUCCAGAGAAACUUGUUUUAAGGGACAUAAUCUCUGAUCAGGAACCGUGAUGGCAGACGGCUGUCCCCGCAAUCAGGAAGCCACAGAGGUGGACACAAUGAAGCUGGAAGAGGUGGAUUUAGGAAGGACUGUUUCACAAAAUAUGCAGUGAAUCUGUGACCUUUGUUUGCCCUGAGAAUUGUACAAAAUGAAUACACAAAUAGGUUCCCAAAGCUUUAAGUGUACUGACCAAUGCCAGAUCUGUCAAGUGGUGUCUGGGGGAACAUGGCUGUCGCCAUUGUGAGCAAGCGAGCCCUUGUGUCACAGAGGCCCAACUACCACCAGAAGCCAGGAGGCCAAGGCCUUUGUCCUCCACUCCUGUGCACCCCUGCCUGAGGGUUGCUGCCAGAGGUCCCUCCCCACCCUUCCCUGCACACAGGUGGACCUGGGGCUGGGGGACACAGGCAGACAUUCGGAUGUGUCCUUGAACCUGGAUGUUGACAGCAUGGAGGAUGGUCCUGCAUCUUUGGGAUUUUCCCUGGCCUACUGGGUUCCUGAGCUUGGGGGCACCCUACCCAGGGCAGGUGCAUCCAGAGAGGGGAGUCUUCCUCAGGGACCACAGGUGCUGGGCAAUGAGGAGGCCACUCUCCUUGGGACUAGAGACACCAGAAGGAUUUGGGAGGGAGCAGAAUAAGCUUGGACAUGUUACCUACUUCCGCAGAUGAAAUGUGAGAGGAAGCGAUCCCGUCACCUCCAGGUGGACAUGUUAAAAACUAGUAAAGACAGAGCUUCAGUGCAGUAAAUAAUGACCCAGUUUCUCCAGGAAGCUGUGGAAUG